GUUUUAAACUUGUAGGUUAAACUGGCAUAAAUCCGAUAACCGCCCCCCUCCAGCAGCCAGUGUCCAUGCUCUCCUUUCUCCUGCCCCUCCCGAGUCUUAGCAGGGCAUGUGGGCACUCGGCUAGAGUGACCCAGCCUGUCUUGCAGCACGGAACAGCAUGGGACUAAAGUUUGGGCCACUGGGAUGUGUGCGGAAGUGACAGGUGAAAUUUUCAGUUCAUAUCCUUAUCUCUUGGUGACCCUGUUUUCUCAUCUAUUAAAUGGAUUUAAGGGGUCAGGGUCCCCCAGGCCUCACAUCCCCUUUCUAGACCGUGUUCAUUGCCAAGAUCGCAGAAUCCUAUGUCUGGUGGCCAUGAGCACACUCCCGUGAGCUGUUUUUGCCCUUUGAUGACUGACUGUGUCUUCCAGGCAGGACCCUAGGUCUGAGAUGUUGCCAAGGAGUAGCUGAGUGACAAGGAGAUGAAUGACACUUGGAUGGGAAGGCUGGCAUGUCCUGUGUUAAAAUGAGGCCCCUCUGGCAUGUGAUGGCAGGACAGGGGGUGAGAGAAAAGGGGGUGAACUGUGGGCCAGAGGCAAGCUCGGUAAGUUGUCAUAUUCCAGUGGCAUGGGACACUCUAUAAAUCUGAGAAUUCUAAAUUUGAAUCUGGCUUUUCAGUGUAUAUCAAGAUAGGAGAAUAGAACAUAUUUUAUUUAAGAGCUUGAUAGCUUGAUCUAUGAUUUUAAAAUAUUUAGAAAUAGGGCAUAUGGACUUCUAUUCAGACUCUUGCCCUGGCCUGCAAAUUUAGGCCCAUUCAGGCCUGGCUAACUUGCAAGCCUGGCAUGAGGACUAAAUAAAAAAGAGAUGAAAAAUACUCACAACGGUGCUUGGUACACACGGCGUGUGUGUAUCAUGAGUAAUGAUGACACUUAAUGAUUCUCCUGAGGGCCACAGGGACCUAGAGAAAAGUUUUCAGCAGAAUAGUGACAGAUACUCACUAUUUUCCCUACAAAUAUUGAUUAAGGGUCUACAAUGUGCCUGGUAUUGUUCUGCCAAUAACAGUCGUGAGAAAAUAAAGCUCCUAUUUCCAAGGAAUGUAUAUUGGAGCGGAGGGUGGGAAAAUAGACAAAAAUAAAACUAUAUAAUAUGCCAAGUGAUGUCGUUUGGUUUUAGAAAGAUCACAGCGGCUGGGGAGAGGUAAGAUUGCAAGUAGAGUCAGGAGCUUGUUGGUGGUAAUUCAAAGACGAGAUGACGGUUGUCAGAUGCCAGGUAUGCCAGAAUGACCAGAGAUCAGCGAAAAGAUAAAAAAAAUUAACACAGUAGAAUGACGACACUUGGGAGUAAGAGAGAGAAGAAGGAAUUAGGGGUGAUGGCUGGGAUUCCGACUGGGGCACCAGGGUCCUGGCGAUGCCGGGUCACUGAGAUUCAGAACAUAGGAGAAGGAGGGACUGAUUUGGAAAGAAGACAAGGGAUCAGUUUUGGACAUUUGGGGUUUAGAUGCCCACAGAACACCUGUGGAGAUGUCCAGCAGGCAGUUUUAUCCAUGGGCCAACCUUUGGCCAGUUGGAAAGUAUCUCAGGGGCAAAAGCCAAAAGCAGCAUGGGGUGGGCAUUCAGUGGGAGGAAGGGAAGUAGAAGCAGAAAGACAGCACUUUUGCCAGGAAGGGGAAAAGCUGUGUAGGCACUUUGAGAAGGAGGGCAAGUACAGGAAAGAGGUACUGGAUUGCAGGGAAAUCGGCAUUUUUGUGGCCAGUGGAAAGCAAGCAGCAGAGAGUAGAGAGACUGGAGAUGCAUCAGAGGGGGCAGUUCACAGAGUGAGUUCCUACGAGGAGAGGCGGAAAGAGAUGCUAAUGAAAAUUAUUCACGGUUUCACCAUAGAAAAAAGCACAUGCAAUCAUUUAUACAUGCAUCUAUUUGUUAAUUCAAUAGUAUGUUAAUUCUAAUCAAGUAGUGCUCUGAUGCCGAGAAGAAGAUAGAAAAAAAUCCCCACCCUAUAUUAUGUAAGUUCAGUAGCUUAAAAUAAACAAAACCUUGGCCCCUGCCAGGCCAGGGCUAAAGAAGGCAGGGUCUUGGCAGAAGCACGUGUGACUGCAUGUGACUGCAAGGCACCGGAGUUCCCCCGGCAGGGACUUUGUCUGGUUCUCAUGUAAAGCAGGAGCCUGGACUAAGGACCUGGAAUUUGAACACCCCACAGAUGUGAGAAGAGAUCUUUAUUGCAACAACAAGUCCUAACUACAAAUGUUUAGCGGGAUCUCUUGCAAGCUUUCUAUGCUUGAUGUCCUCAAAGCCUCAAGAAAGACAGAUAACAGGCAGAGACCCUGGCAAAAGAAAACCCUGCUACUCAAUUAAUUCCAUUUGGACAUCACCUAAAUGGACCAAAUCCAUCAAGUCCUGCUUAGCGUUAACAGUCAUUAAUGAGCACUGGUUUUGAAAGAGACAGAGGGAAGCAGAGGAGGUGAAUGUGUGCUUUGCCCUGACGAGGCACACUUGGGGACAGAUUGGCAAAAAUUCCCACCUAACCUGAGACAGACCACAUUACACGUUAGACAGAGUAGGAGUAUUUCAAGUGUCAGACUAGGGUGGAGCAAUGUCAAGUUUAUGCUUGGGGAUUCAUAGAACGUUCAAACAGAAAGGGCCUUGGACGUCACUGAGUGAAACGUAUUUGACAAGAUGAGAACGAUCCAUCACAGGGCCAUUGGUGGAUGCCCAGCUUAGGACUCAGGGGUCCUGAAACCCCACCUAGCAUUUUCUCCAGGAUGCCAUGUCACCAUAUUCUGUAUGGCGUUAGGUUUUCAAAUAAGGGAUUUUUUGCCAUUGAAAAAUGAUUUGCAAGAGGGUGACUACUUUUUAUGAAAAGUUUCCCAUUCGGAAGCUUCCAACAUCAAAUUGCAAAUCUCCAUCUCAGACAGACCAUGGGGUACCAAGCUCAGCACUGAGGAGGACACUUUCUGGUUUACCCUGGAGAUCAUCCAGGCCCCUUGCUUUCCCCUGGACACAAACUUGCACGUAACCUUCGGAUCAUGUCAUUUUUACCCCCUAGCUACUUCACUGCUGAAACAGAAGCCGCUCUGGAAAGGAGUUUCGUGAUGAGAAAAAAGUUCAAAUUAUGAUUUGAGACCUGGGGAUUUUCUGUGGAUAAUUACCCAUGUCCCACUUUACCAGAGAAAAAGUGAAUUUCAAUUAGAAUGUAAAGUAAUUCUCCCUGAAACCGUGGGAUGGAAGAGAUGAGACCUGGAUAUUAGGAAUAUAUUUAUCUCUCCGAAAAAUCUCACCCCCAGAACGCACAAGACGGUGAUGAAAUACAUUAGGGGUAUAUGAAAUUUUAUUCUAGCACUGAUGGGAGGAAGAAAAAAAAAGGAAGGAAAGAAAAAUGAAGCAAGGUGAAAAACAGGACAGUUGAGAGACAGAGAAAAGACAGAGAAACUUGUUAAUUACAGGACUUUCUGAGCAAGAUAUUUUUCUUCCUUUCACAAGUUAGAAGCUAUUGAAUAAUUCAUGCAAGCGUGGAAAGGCUGCCUUUUCCCUGGGUGAUGUAUAACUGAGCAGCAGAGAGCUUCGAGUGGGUUCACCACAUCAGCCACCACUCGUGCUUCUGAGCACAGGGUGCUGCUCUCCUCUUGAGCUCAGCUUCUGCUUUUGCAGCCAAGCAUCCUGGUGGCUGGUGCCUGCCUACCUGCCCACCGGCGGGGCUUGCAGCCCGCCGCUUUACUCUCGCCAGCCCUGCUGCCAGCUGAGAAGAAGUCUCCCUGCAGCUGCUGGUUUCUGCCUAGGGCCAUGUGUGUGGAUGCUGCGCUGGAGAAGGAGGCACUUGCUCCUGGCACUGAUCCCAGCUGAGUUUCUCCUGUUGAUUCCGGGACCACAGAUGCUGCUGCUGAGGAGGUAUGUUCCUGGCAUUCUUCCCAUUGCUACCACCAGCGAAAGACCAGCCCAGGAAUAAGAUACCCCCCAACCUCUUUCCCCGGGUAUUUUCCCCAGGCGGGAUGUCUCUGCUUUUUCCUGGAAACUAAGGGGCUCCAUCUGGCAAUAUUCCUCUGUGUUUGUGUGUACGUGUGUGUAUGUUUAGGGGGAGAAGGGGAGACCGUUCUUUGCAUUCCUCUGUCCCAGGGCUUCCCUGUGCCUGCUGAAUGC
rnacentral:lncRNA from 1 species